rnacentral:rRNA from 1 species
UACGGGGGGGGCAAGCGUUGUUCGGAAUUACUGGGCGUAAAGGGCUCGUAGGCGGCCAACUAAGUCGGACGUGAAAUCCCCAGGCUCAACCUGGGAACUGCGUCCGAUACUGGAUGGCUUGAAUCCGGGAGAGGGAUGCAGAAUUCCAGGUGUAGCGGUGAAAUGCGUAGAUAUCGGGAGGAACACCAGUGGCGAAGGCGACUUCCUGGCCUGUUCUUGACGCUGAGGCGCGAAAGCUAGGGGAGCAAACGGG